rnacentral:rRNA from 1 species
GUUUGAUCCUGGCUCAGGAUGAACGCUAGCGGCAGGCUUAACACAUGCAAGUCGAGGGGUAUAAUUCUUCGGAAUUAGAGACCGGCGCACGGGUGCGUAACGCGUAUGCAAUCUACCUUUCACAGAGGGAUAGCCCAGAGAAAUUUGGAUUAAUACCUCAUAGUAUAUUGAGUUGGCAUCAACACAAUAUUAAAGUCACAACGGUGAAAGAUGAGCAUGCGUCCCAUUAGCUAGUUGGUAAGGUAACGGCUUACCAAGGCUACGAUGGGUAGGGGUCCUGAGAGGGAGAUCCCCCACACUGGUACUGAGACACGGACCAGACUCCUACGGGAGGCAGCAGUGAGGAAUAUUGGACAAUGGGCGCAAGCCUGAUCCAGCCAUGCCGCGUGCAGGAUGACGGUCCUAUGGAUUGUAAACUGCUUUUGCACAGGAAGAAACAACGCUACGUGUAGCGUCUUGACGGUAUCGUGAGAAUAAGGAUCGG